rnacentral:rRNA from 1 species
UAGAGGAAGUAAAAGUCGUAACAAGGUCUCCGUUGGUGAACCAGCGGAGGGAUCAUUACCGAGUUUACAACUCCCAAACCCAAUGUGAACGUUACCAAACUGUUGCCUCGGCGGGGUCACGCCCCGGGUGCGUAAAAGCCCCGGAACCAGGCGCCCGCCGGAGGAACCAACCAAACUCUUUCUGUAGUCCCCUCGCGGACGUUAUUUCUUACAGCUCUGAGCAAAAAUUCAAAAUGAAUCAAAACUUUCAACAACGGAUCUCUUGGUUCUGGCAUCGAUGAAGAACGCAGCGAAAUGCGAUAAGUAAUGUGAAUUGCAGAAUUCAGUGAAUCAUCGAAUCUUUGAACGCACAUUGCGCCCGCCAGUAUUCUGGCGGGCAUGCCUGUCCGAGCGUCAUUUCAACCCUCGAACCCCUCCGGGGGAUCGGCGUUGGGGAUCGGGACCCCUCACCGGGUGCCGGCCCUGAAAUACAGUGGCGGUCUCGCCGCAGCCUCUCCUGCGCAGUAGUUUGCACAACUCGCACCGGGAGCGCGGCGCGUCCACGUCCGUAAAACACCCAACUCUGAAAUGU